rnacentral:rRNA from 1 species
UACGUAGGGGGCUAGCGUUGUCCGGAAUCAUUGGGCGUAAAGAGCGUGUAGGCGGCCCGGUAAGUCCGCUGUGAAAGUCGGGGGGCUCAACCCUCGAAUGCCGGUGGAUACUGUCGGGCUAGAGUGCGGAAGAGGCGAGUGGAAUUCCUGGGUGUAGCGGUGAAAUGCGCAGAUAUCAGGAGGAACACCGAUUGCGAAGGCAGCUCGCUGGGACGUCAC